rnacentral:rRNA from 1 species
UACAGAGGUCCCAAGCGUUGUUCGGAUUCAUUGGGCGUAAAGGGUGCGUAGGCGGCGCGGUAAGUCGGGUGUGAAAUUUCGGAGCUUAACUCCGAAACUGCAUUUGAUACUGCCUUGCUUGAGGACUGGAGAGGAGACUGGAAUUUACGGUGUAGCGGUGAAAUGCGUAGAUAUCGUAAGGAAGACCAGUGGCGAAGGCGGGUCUCUGGACAGUUCCUGACGCUGAGGCACGAAGGCCAGGGGAGCAAACGGG